UUUUUCUAGUUUCUAAGUUGUAAGCUUAGACAUUUGUCUUAUUUUUAAAUAUAAGUAUUUGUAGCUAUAAAAUUUCCCCUUAGUACUGUUUUCAUUACUUCCAUAUGUUUGGAUAUGUUGUGUUUUUGUUUUCAUUUGUCUUUUAAGUAUUAUCUAAUUCCCCUUGUGUUUUCUUAUUUAAUCCAGUUGUUGCUUAAGAUUGUGUUAUUCAAUUUUCACAAAUUUUUGAAUUUUUCAGUUUUCCUUCUGUUACUGAUUUCUAAUGCCAUCCUAUUGUGAUCAGAGAAGACACUCUGUACAAUGUCUGUCUUUUAAAAUUUACUGAGACUUCAUUUGUGGCCUUGCAUAUGGUCUAUCCUGGAAAAUGUCUCACGUGUACUUGAGAAGAAUGUGUAUGCUGUUGUUAGGUAGAGUGUUUGGCAUGUAUCUGUUAGAUCCAGCUGGUUUACUGUUUUGUUCAAGUCCUCUGUUUUCUUACUUAACUUCUGUCUUUUGUCUCUUUGCUAGCAUUUUUUAUUUAAAGUCUAUUUUUUCUGAUAUUAGUAUAGCCAACUCUGCUCUGUUUUGGUUUACUAUUUACAUGGAAUAUCCUUUUCUGUCCUUUUACUUUUAACCUAUUUGCAUCACUGGUUCUAAAGUAAGUCUGUGAAGACAGUAUAUAGUUGGAUUAUGAUUUUUUAAAACCAUUUUGUCAACCUCUGUCUAUUGACUAGGCUGUUUAAUCCAUUUACAUUUAAAGUAAUUACUGUUAAGGAGAGGUUUGAUUCUGUCAUUUUGUGACUUGUUUUCUAUAUGCCUUAUAGGUUUAUUUUGUCCCUCAUUUCCUGUAUUCCUGUCUUCUUUUGUGUUUGGUUGAUUUCUUGUUUUGAUAAUGAAAUGAUUAAAUUCCUUUUCGAUUUUUUCUGUAUAUUCUUUAGCUGUUGUCUUUGUGGUUACCAUGGAAAUUAUAUUUAACAUCCUGAAGUUAUUACACUGUAAUUUGAAUUUAUGCCAGCUUAACUUCUAUAACAUAUAAAAACUGUGCUACUUUAACAACAUUAUACCCUCCCCUUUCUGUUGUUGAUGUCAUAAAAUUACAUCUAUAUAUCUUGACUUCCUCAAAACAUCAACUAAUAAUUUUUAUCCAUUAGUCUCUUAAAUUAUAUAGAAAACAAAACAUGGAGUUAUAAACCAAAGUUAUAAUAAUAUUGAUUUUUAGACCAAUAUAUUUUAAAAAUCCGUUAUUCUCUUAAUUCAUAUAGAAACAAAAAGUGGAAUUACAUACCAUGUUAAAAUAACACUAGCUUUUCUACUUACAAAUAUAUUUACCAAUACAAAGACCUUUAUUUCUUUAUAUAGCUUCAAGUUACUGUCUAGCAUCACCUCAUUUUAACCUUCUGGACUCCCUUUAGCAUUUCUUGAAGGGCAGAUCUAGUUCUAAUAAAUUUUCUCAGGUUUUAUCUGGGAAUGCCUUAAUUUCUUCUUCACUCCUUUACUUCUUUUGCAGUACAGUUUUGUUGGAUACGUGAUUAUUGGCUGACAGUUUUUUUUCUUUUACCACUUUGAAUAUCUGAGCCUUCUGGCCUGUAAAGCUUCUAAUGAAAAAAUCUGCUGAUAAUCUUAGUGAGGAUCCCUAGUGCAUGACAAAUCUCUUCUCUUCUGCUGCUUUCAAAAUUCUCUCUUUGUCUCUGACUUUCAAUAGUAGUAUUUAUAAUGUGUUUUGGUGUGAGUCUUUCAGGCUCACCCUAUUUGUAUUUUGGUGAGCUUUUUGAUGUUCAUAUUCAUGUCAUUCAACAAAUUUGGGAAGUUUUUAUUCAUUAUUUCUUCAAAUAAUCUCUCUGCCCCUUUCUGUCUCCCUCUUUUCCUUCUGGGGCUCUCACAAUGCAUACGUUGGUUCACUUGAUGGUGUACCACAGGUCCCUUAGGCUCUGUUCAUCUUUCUUCAACUUUUUUUUUCUCUCUGUUCCUCAGACUUAAUUUUCAUUGACCUAUCUUUAAAUUCAUUAAUUCUUUCUUCUGCCUGUCAAAAUCUGCCUUUGAGUUCUAGUGAAUUUCUCAUGUCAGUCAUUAUAUUUUUCAGCUUUACAAUUUAUUUUUGGUUUCUUUGCAUCACUCUCUCUUUAUUGAUGUUGCCCUUUUGAUCAGACAUUAUUUUCUUGACUUUCCCCAAUUAUUCCUUUAGUUUUUUUGAUCAUCUCUAUGAUAGGUAGUUUAAGUAUCUGGCUAAUGGAUCCAUCAUUAGGUCUUUUCAGCUCAGUGUCCAUUGGUUUAUUUAUUUAUUUUCCCUUUAAUGCUUAAUACGUUCCUGUUGCUCUAUAUGCCUUGUAAUUUUAUUUUUGUUGAAAACUGGACAUAUGAAUCGAAUAAUAUGAUAAUUCUUGAAAUCAGAUUCUCCCCCUUUGCUAGGGUUGCUGGUAUUUGUUUUCAUGUUUUUGAUUGUUGUAGGCCAACUCUAUAGCAAGGAUCACUCUGAGGUAUAAACUUAAAGUCUUUUCUGAGCCAGUGCCUUGCCUGGAACAUGCACAGUAGCUAUCUAAAGUCUCCCACAUAUGUAGUUGCUUUUGAAUGUCCUAGUUUUCAAUAUCUGGGUCCCAAAAAGGGAAAGAAGAAAAAUUAAGGGAAGCGAAAAAAGGCAUCAGCCCUUUAAAUUCCCUAGGAGUCACUUCAGCUAGAGAGGAAGGUACAACAAUAAUGGCUACCACCUCUUUUUUGUACCUCUGUGAUUGAAAACGGCAAUCAGUAAUCAGAAUACAGAUCCCAAUAUUUGCAGGAUAGAGUCCUUUUUGCCCACCGUGGCUCCCACAAGCCAUGUGCAAACCAGGAGUACAUGCACAGCUGCCUGCCAUGGGGCUGAAAGAUGGGGAAUGGGUAGUUAUUACUGUGCUAAGAACUGAAAUUGAUUGAAAUUAAUCACAAUUUGUGCCCCUUUCCCUGGAAUAUUCAGGCCUUCAGUGGACUCCAGAGUUCCAAAAUAGCUACAACAGACAGAUUCUGCCAAUGCAAUUGUUAUCUAUGUGGAAAUACAGAUUUCUCAAGCUUCAUACUCUAUAAUCUUCCCAUCAAUUAUAUUUUAAUAUACCUAUGUUUAUAGGGAAAGAAUGCCAAAAAGAUUUAAAAAAAUCACAGACCUUUAAUAGCUCUUUGGGGAUUUUUGAGCAAUUUCAGUAAUCUUCUAAAAUAAUAUUUAGAAUAUCUUCUAAAAUAAUAGAGAUCUUAGAAAUUAUAAAGACAAAAAAGAUUAUUUGUGUUGACAUUCAAUACUUUUUCUUCUGAAAUUCCCAAAGUACUUACAUUUAGGAUAUAUUAGAUAAAUUAGGUAACGCAAUGGGAAGGUAAGCUAUUCUAAGUUUUCCAGCCUUGUUAUUAUCCAGUAAUAAUGCCAUUCAACUUGCUGGCACUUAGAUUGUCUGAGGAACCUUUCCAAAUAUGGUGUCAUAUAAAUGCCAUUGUAAAGCUCUACCAGAAUAGCAUUAUCAGAUUCUUCCUUCAAUGCCCAGUAACAAUAAAACACUUGGGGAAAAAGAUCUCAUUUCAGAGUCCCUGUCUCUCAUCCUUCACUCUUGAGUAUUCAGCUGCAUCUGUCAUUCUUUGUUUUUAUAUUUCUGUUUAUUCAAAUAUCACAUGAUCCUAAAACAGAAUAAAUCCUGUCAUCAUGCAAAUUCCAUUUAGGACAGUACUCUCAUAUAUGAGGUCAGGUUCAUAUCCCUUUAUAGGCAAUCAAGCUAAUGUAUAUAGUUGUUUGUUAAGAAAUAAGAUUCUCGGCCAGGCUCAGUGGCUCAUGCCUGUAAUCUCAGCACUUUGGGAGGCCAAGGCAGGCAGAUCACUUGAGGCCAGGAGUUUGAGACCAGCCUGGCCAACAUGGUGAAAGCCCAUGGCUCCAUUAAAAAUACAAAAAUUAGACAGGUGUUGUGGUGCACGUCUGUAAUCCCAGCUACUCAGGAGGCUGAGGCAUGAGAAUCACUUGAGCCUGGCAGGUGGAGGUUGCAGUGAGCUGAGAUCAUGCUACUGCGCUCCAGCCUGGGUGACAGAAUGAGACUCUGUCACAGAAAAAAAAAAGAUGAGAUUCUCCCAUUAUUAAAUGCAUAUGAAAAAGAUCAAAUAAUGCAUGCGAUAUGAGUUGUGUCCAAACCACAAUCUCAUGGAGGCAAAAUUAUCAAGACUUCAAUCCGAUUGGUGGCUUGCAAACUACCCUAGGCCUCCAACCCACAAAUAUAUACAGCCUCCAACCCACAAAUAUAAACAGACACAGAUGAAAUCUGGAUGCUAGGAAUUCGUUUCCUAAACUUUCCAACAGCACGUACCUGAGGGACUGUAUGGAAGAGAUGAAACAAGAGACAUGUUUAGGAGGAAGGAGCUAGUUGUUUACCAAUUAAUGACGAACUAUCUAAAACUUCUUUGCUCUCUAAAAGUAAGACUUGUAAUGUUUUCAGAAAUAAAUAUGGGUUAUUCUUAAUCAGGUAUAUUAUAAGAGUAGCUUAUAGAAGGAGAUAUGCAUUGUUUCUGCAGUGAAGGAAAAAGCAUAAUUUAAUUUUUGACAAAAUCAGAAAUAUUAUAAGGUAUAUGUUCAGCUGCAGAAGCUAUAAUACCUUUGACUUUAGUUCUUUAAAAUAAAUUAUAGAUACACAACUAUAUGCACUAACAGCCUAAAAGUAAGUCAUGCUGGGUUUUUUUCCAUACAAUUUUAAUUAGGUAUAUUUUUUCCAAUGUGUUUUGAAAUGAUCUGCUAGGACCAAAUGCUAACAUGAAAUUCCCUGCAUGCUGGUAGUUAAUUUAAUAAAAAUUAGAAAGGUGAAGCCCUGUUCCCUAGAGGGAGAAGGUCUUAACACAAAACAUUCAUUAUUUCCACAUAAAUUGCAAAAAGUAAAGAUGCUGGAUUUAAAAUCUAAGCAGGAAGAAACUGUCAACUUUCAUUAUCAGUGGACAAAUGUUUUAAUUUGCAAUAUUCCCUAGCAACUUUUUGAACAGACAACUUUACCUCUUUACCAACAUCUACUUUAAUUCCUAAUUUGCAGCUGCAUAAGUACUAUGUUGGGCCCAAAGCUUUGGGUAUAUCUCUUAGAGGUAAUGGAAUCCUUGUUGUUUUCUGGCACUGCCUCAUUAAAAUGAAACUCAGACUCAGGGUAACCCUGAAAAACCUAAGCCCUCCAAUAAAAAAUGUGGUAUAUCCCUGCACUUAAAUUACGCAGGAGAAGUGAAGGCUGGUACAUCACACACAGAAGAGAAGCUAAAGGUCAAGCUAUUAGAGUUAAUGAGCCGAUACAAGCUCAGGCUCUCUAACCAGAGAGGUUAGGGACAGAAUACAUGGCCACCCCAAGGAACUUUAUUUAAGAUAUCAAUUAAAAAUGAGUCACCUCUCUUCUCAGCUCCUGCACUCAACACUGACACUGGGAACAAUGACUGAAGGACUCACACAUGUCUGAGAAAAGGCACCUUGUGGGUGUGACUUGCCACAAAAGCAAGAGUCUUUCUGCAUUUGUAAAUGUGUUGGUAAGGCAACAAAAAGAAUACUACUGUGCAAGGGGAGGUAGAGGUGGUGAUCCUGGCAACCUAAAAGCCUGAUUGUAUGUUCUAAUCCAUUCUGAUGUCACCAAAGCUCCCCUUCGAGGGAAUAACCUGGAUUAUGGCCAAUACUUUCUACUUCUAAUAGUCUUCCAGUUUCAUUGUUCACAAGGGGUUGGUAAACAAAAAUCAAUGAAAAGAGCAGGGUCUUCUCUAUUUUGGAUUUGGACACUGAUGAUGAAGCUGUGAUAUUCUGAUCCAGGACUCAAUGGCUCCUCCUGGAUCUUCUAACAAGGUCAAUCUGGCUGAGUUCCAGACAGUCAGCUGAUGGUCUCAUAUGAGGAAUCUAAAGUUGAUGAAGAUGGUGGUAGUAGAGUGGUGUAAUCCUCAUAGCUCAAAAACGAUCAGAGCUCAUUAAUUAUUAACUAACUAGAACUUUUAUGGCUCAUUAGCUACUGGUUAAAUGUCAGUGGGCUGCCUUGUGCCUGGGUCUGAAGAGAAGAGGAAGAAAGAGGGGAGUCUGAUGGACAAAGCUCUGUGGAGGACGUGGCACUGAGCAGAAACUUGAAACAGAGCUUGACUGGCUGGCAGGAUGAGAAGAAUGGACUCUUGGCUGAAGGGGAAGCAAGCACAAGCACAUAGAGAUGAGGAAGCAUGGGUGGUGGUAUAUAGGGUACCAUGCAUGUGUCAAAAAUCAAAACCAGGGAGCCCAGCCUCUAAUAUGAGAAGAUUCCAGAUUUCAAAAGCACUAGGUACUAUUUGAUAAACCAAACAUUUUCCCUGUUAUUGCUAGAAGCAGACACACAUAGGCACAUUUGCAUCCUCUAUAUUGAUACUUCUCAAAUCAUCCAUAGUAAAGGGCGUGUGUGUGUGUG
rnacentral:lncRNA from 1 species